rnacentral:rRNA from 1 species
GCUUGGCCCUAAACCUCAAUAGUUAAAAUAACAAAACUAUUCGCCAGAAUACUACAAGCAACAGCUUAAAACUCAAAGGACUUGGCGGUGCUUCAUACCCCCUAGAGGAGCCUGUUCUGUAAUCGAUAAACCCCGAUCCACCCCACCCUCUCUUGCUUAGUCUAUAUACCGCCAUCUUCAGCAAACCCUGAUGAAGGCUACGAAGUGAGCGCAAAUGCCCUUCCCCGCAAAAACGUUAGGUCAAGGUGUAACCUAUGAGACGGUAAAAAUGGGCUACAUUUUCUACUUCAGAAAACCCCACGAUAGCUCUUAUGAAAUCUAGGAGCCCAAGGAGGAUUUAGCAGUAAAUUAAGAAUAGAGUGCUUAAUUGAACUAGGCCAUAAAGCACGC